rnacentral:rRNA from 1 species
GACGAACGCUGGCGGCGUGCUUAACACAUGCAAGUCGAGCGGUAAGGCUCCUUCGGGAGUACACGAGCGGCGAACGGGUGAGUAACACGUGAGCAAUCUGCCCUUCACAUCGGGAUAACUUCGGGAAACCGAAGCUAAUACCGGAUACGACCAUCGGUGGCAUCACCUGGUGGUGGAAAGUUCCGGCGGUGAAGGAUGAGCUCGCGGCCUAUCAGCUUGUUGGUGGAAUGGCCACCAAGGCGACGACGGUAGCCGGCCUGAGAGGGUGACCGGCCACACUGGGACUGAGACACGGCCCAGACUCCUACGGGAGGCAGCAGUGGGGAAUAUUGGACAAUGGGCGAAAGCCUGAUCCAGCAACGCCGCGUGAGGGAUGACGGCCU